CCUUUGUACACACCGCCCGUCGCUACUACCGAUUGAAUGGCUUAGUGAGGCCUCCGGAUUGCGCCUGCGGAGCGGGAAACCACACCACGGGCUUGAGAAGCUGGCCAAACUUGGUCAUUUAGAGG
rnacentral:rRNA from 1 species